rnacentral:misc_RNA from 1 species
GAACGCACCUUGCACCCUCUGGUAUUCCGGAGGGUACACCCGUUUGAGUGUCAUUGUAAUCUCACACCCAGGAUUCGGUCCAAGGGUUGUGGACUCUGGAUGCUGUCGUGCAAACACGGCUCGUCUCAAAUGCAUGAGUGUACCCUUCCUGCGUGGUGUAUUCAGUGUGAUAAGCAUCCUCACUGGUACCCAGCCCCCCCGGGCUUGGUGUUGGGGAUCGGCGAGCCUCCGCGCCCGCCGUCCCCUAAAUCUAGUGGCGGUCUCGCUGUAGCUUCCUCUGCGUAGUAGCACCCCUCGCACUGGGAAACAGCGCGGCCACGCCGUUAAACACCCAACUUCUGAAAGUUUGACCUCGGAUCAGGUAGGAAUACCCGCUGAACUUAAG